UUGCUUGCAAUCCGCUGACGACCGGCGCACGGGUGCGUAACGCGUAUGCAACCUACCUUCUACAGGGGGAUAGUCAAUAGAAAUGUUGAAUAAUACCCCAUACGAUCUUUGAAUAGCAUUAUUUAAAGAAGAAAGCUCCGGCGGUAGAAGAUGGGCAUGCGUCCUAUUAGUUAGUUGGUAAGGUAACGGCUUACCAAGACUUCGAUAGGUAGGGGUCCUGAGAGGGAGACCCCCCACACUGGUACUGAGACACGGACCAGACUCCUACGGGAGGCAGCAGUGAGGAAUAUUGGACAAUGGAGGCAACUCUGAUCCAGCCAUGCCGCGUGCAGGAAGACUGCCCUAUGGGUUGUAAACUGCUUUUAUACAGGAAGAAAUAUGCCUACGUGUAGGUAUUUGACGGUACUGUACGAAUAAGGAUCGGCUAACUCCGUGCCAGCAGCCGCGGUAAUACGGAGGAUCCAAGCGUUAUCCGGAAUCAUUGGGUUUAAAGGGUCCGUAGGCGGAUUAUUAAGUCAGAGGUGAAAUCCCACAGCUUAACUGUGGAACUGCCUUUGAUACUGGUAGUCUUGAGUUAUAAGGAAGUAGAUAGAAUAUGUA
rnacentral:rRNA from 1 species